rnacentral:rRNA from 1 species
UACGUAGGGUGCAAGCGUUAAUCGGAAUUACUGGGCGUAAAGCGUGCGCAGGCGGUUUUGUAAGACAGAGGUGAAAUCCCCGGGCUCAACCUGGGAACUGCCUUUGUGACUGCAAGGCUGGAGUGCGGCAGAGGGGGAUGGAAUUCCGCGUGUAGCAGUGAAAUGCGUAGAUAUGCGGAGGAACACCGAUGGCGAAGGCAAUCCCCUGGGCCUGCACUGACGCUCAUGCACGAAAGCGUGGGGAGCAAAC